rnacentral:rRNA from 1 species
UACGUAGGCAGCAAGCGUUGUUCGGAAUUACUGGGCGUAAAGAGUGUGUAGGCGGUGCUCUAAGUCUGUUGUGAAAUCUCCCGGCUUAACUGGGAGGGUGCGGCGGAGACUGGAGUGCUAGAGUGUGGGAGAGGUAAGCGGAAUUCCCGGUGUAGCGGUGAAAUGCGUAGAUAUCUGGAGGAACACCGGUGGCGAAGGCGGCAUCCUGGACCGGCAUUGACGCUGAGGAGCGAAAGCCAGGGGAGCAAACGGG